rnacentral:rRNA from 2 species
GGAAGUAAAAGUCGUAACAAGGUCUCCGUUGGUGAACCAGCGGAGGGAUCAUUACUGAGUUUACGCUCUAUAACCCUUUGUGAACAUACCUAUAACUGUUGCUUCGGCGGGUAGGGUCUCCGCGACCCUCCCGGCCUCCCGCCUCCGGGCGGGUCGGCGCCCGCCGGAGGAUAACCAAACUCUGAUUUAACGACGUUUCUUCUGAGUGGUACAAGCAAAUAAUCAAAACUUUUAACAACGGAUCUCUUGGUUCUGGCAUCGAUGAAGAACGCAGCGAAAUGCGAUAAGUAAUGUGAAUUGCAGAAUUCAGUGAAUCAUCGAAUCUUUGAACGCACAUUGCGCCCGCCAGCAUUCUGGCGGGCAUGCCUGUUCGAGCGUCAUUUCAACCCUCAAGCUCUGCUUGGUGUUGGGGCCCUACAGCUGAUGUAGGCCCUCAAAGGUAGUGGCGGACCCUCCCGGAGCCUCCUUUGCGUAGUAACUUUACGUCUCGCACUGGGAUCCGGAGGGACUCUUGCCGUAAAACCCCCCAAUUUUCCAAAGGUUGACCUCGGAUCAGGUAGGAAUACCCGCUGAACUUAAGCAUAUCAAUA